rnacentral:rRNA from 1 species
UACAGAGGUCUCAAGCGUUGUUCGGAUUCAUUGGGCGUAAAGGGCGCGUAGGCUGCGGGGCAAGUCGGGUGUGAAAUCUCAGAGCUCAACUCUGAAACUGCACUCGAUACUGCUUUGCUUGAAGACUGGAGAGGAGAUUGGAAUUCACGGUGUAGCAGUGAAAUGCGUAGAUAUCGUGAGGAAGACCAGUGGCGAAGGCGGAUCUCUGGACAGUUCCUGACGCUGAGGUGCGAAAGCGUGGGGAGCAAACAGG